GAUGAACGCUGGCGGCGUGCCUAAUACAUGCAAGUCGAGCGAACGGACGAGAAGCUUGCUUCUCUGAUGUUAGCGGCGGACGGGUGAGUAACACGUGGAUAACCUACCUAUAAGACUGGGAUAACUUCGGGAAACCGGAGCUAAUACCGGAUAAUAUUUUGAACCGCAUGGUUCAAAAGUGAAAGACGGUCUUGCUGUCACUUAUAGAUGGAUCCGCGCCGCAUUAGCUAGUUGGUAAGGUAACGGCUUACCAAGGCAACGAUGCAUAGCCGACCUGAGAGGGUGAUCGGCCACACUGGAACUGAGACACGGUCCAGACUCCUACGGGAGGCAGCAGUAGGGAAUCUUCCGCAAUGGGCGAAAGCCUGACGGAGCAACGCCGCGUGAGUGAUGAAGGUCUUCGGAUCGUAAAACUCUGUUAUUAGGGAAGAACAUAUGUGUAAGUAACUAUGCACAUCUUGACGGUACCUAAUCAGAAAGCCACGGCUAACUACGUG
rnacentral:rRNA from 1 species